rnacentral:tRNA from 1 species
AGAUAAUUAUAUUUAAAGCCGCUAACUUUAAUAAAAUGAUUUAAUAUUAUUAUUAUCUU